UAAUGAGCGACUAAAAUUAUCAUGUAAGUUUUGUAUAAGGUAAUAUCACAAGGGACAGAAACAACCAAAAGUCGUAAUUUUUAAGAAAGCCCAGAAACUUAUCAUCAUUAUAAUAAUUAUUAAUGGAAUUAGCAUUAUUACACCAAAGCCUAUGGAAGGAUAUCAACUAAAUCCAUUCUCAAAAUAUGCAGCAAAAUUCAAAAAGGUUGUUCAAG
rnacentral:misc_RNA from 1 species